rnacentral:rRNA from 1 species
GCAAGUCGAACGGUAACAGGCAAAAGCUUGCUUUUGUGCUGCAAGUGGCGGACGGGUGAGUAACGCGUAGGAAUCUGCCUAGCAGCGGGGGACAACCUGGAGAAAUCCAGGCUAAUACCGCAUACGCCCUACGGGGGAAAGUCAGGGAUCUUCGGACCUGACACUGUUAGAUGAGCCUGCGUUAGAUUAGCUUGUUGGUAGGGUAAUGGCCUACCAAGGCGACGAUCUAUAACUGGUCUGAGAGGAUGACC